GACGAACGCUGGCGGCGUGCUUAACACAUGCAAGUCGAACGGUGAAGCGCCUUCCUUUUUGGUGGGUGUGGAUGAGUGGCGAACGGGUGAGUAACACGUGAGUAACCUGCCCCCUUCUUCUGGAUAACCGCAUGAAAGUGUGGCUAAUACGGGAUAUUCUGGGUCUGUCGCAUGAUGGGUCUGGGAAAGAUAUUGUUUCGGUGGGGGAUGGGCUCGCGGCCUAUCAGCUUGUUGGUGGGGUGAUGGCCUACCAAGGCGGUGACGGGUAGCCGGCCUGAGAGGGUGGACGGUCACACUGGGACUGAGACACGGCCCAGACUCCGACGGGAGGCAGCAGGGGGGAAUAUUGCACAAUGGGCGCAAGCCUGAUGCAGCGACGCCGCGUGAGGGAUGGAGGCCUUCGGGUUGUGAACCUCUUUCGCCAGUGAAGCAGGCCUGCCUCGUUUGUGGGUGGGUUGACGGUAGCUGGAGAAGAAGCGCCGGCUAACUACGUG
rnacentral:rRNA from 1 species